AGAGUUUGAUCAGUGGCUCGAGGACGAACGCUGGCGGCGUGCUUAACACAUGCAAGUCGGACGGGGUUCUUUUGAUCAGCUUGCUGAAUGAGAGGACCUAGUGGCAAACGGGUGAGUAACGCGUAGGCAACCUGCCUUUCUGAUGGGGACAACAUCCCGAAAGGGGUGCUAAUACCGGAUAAGCGCACAGUACUGCAUGGUACAGUGUGAAAAACUCCGGUGGUACAAGAUGGACCCGCGUCUGAUUAGCCAGUUGGCAGGGUAACGGCCUACCAAAGCAACGAUCAGUAGCCGACUUGAGAGAGUGAUCGGCCACAUUGGGACUGAGACACGGCCCAGACUCC
rnacentral:rRNA from 1 species